rnacentral:rRNA from 1 species
UUAGAGUUUGAUCCUGGCUCAGGAUGAACGCUUGCGGCAGGCCUAACACAUGCAGGUCGAGGGGGAAGUUACUUUCGGGUAACUGAGACCGGCGUACGGGUGCGUAACGCGUAUACAAUCUGCCUUUCACUGGGGGAUAGCCUGAAGAAAUUUGGAUUAAUACCCCAUAGUAUAGGAGCACGGCAUCGUGAUACUAUUAAAGCUUAGGUGGUGAAAGAUGAGUAUGCGUUCUAUUAGCUAGUUGGAGAGGUAACGGCUCCCCAAGGCGAUGAUAGAUAGGGGUUCUGAGAGGGAUGUCCCCCACGCUGGUACUGAGAUACGGACCAGACUCCUACGGGAGGCAGCAGUGAGGAAUAUUGGACAAUGGUCGGAAGACUGAUCCAGCCAUGCCGCGUGCAGGAUGACGGCCUUAUGGGUUGUAAACUGCUUUUGUAAGGGAAGAAUAAGGACUACGUGUAGUUUGAUGACGGUACCUUACGAAUAAGCAUCGGCUAACUCCGUGCCAGCAGCCGCGGUAAUACGGAGGAUGCGAGCGUUAUCCGGAAUCAUUGGGUUUAAAGGGUCUGUAGGCGGGCUGGUAAGUCAGAGGUGAAAGCGCUUAGCUCAACUAAGCAACUGCCUUUGAAACUGUUGGUCUUGAAUGGUUGUGAAGUAGUUGGAAUGUGUAGUGUAGCGGUGAAAUGCUUAGAUAUUACACAGAACACCGAUAGCGAAGGCAUAUUACUAACAAUUAAUUGACGCUGAUGGACGAAAGCGUGGGGAGCGAACAGGAUUAGAUACCCUGGUAGUCCACGCUGUAAAC